rnacentral:rRNA from 1 species
CCUACGGGAGGCAGCAGUAGGGAAUAUUCCUCAAUGGGGGAAACCCUGAAGCAGCAACGCCGCGUGGAGGAUGAAGGUUUUCGGAUUGUAAACUCCUGUUGUUAGAGAAGAUAAUGACGGUAUCUAACGGAUAAGCACCUGCUAACUCCGUGCCAGCAGCCGCGGUAAUACGGAGGGGGCAAGCGUUAAUCGGUAUCACUGGGCGUAAAGAGCGCGGAGGCGGUUUAGCAAGUCAGAUGUGAAAUCCUAUGGCUUAACCUUAGAUUAGCAUUUGAAACUGGUAAUCUAGAGUAUGGGAGAGGUAAGUGGAAUUCUAGGUGAAGGGGUGAAAUGCGUAGAGAUAUAGAAGAAUACUAAUUGCGAAGGCGGCCUGCUAGAACAUAACUGACGCUGAUGCGCGAAAGCGUGGGGAGCAAACAGGAUUAGAUACCCCAGUAGUC